GACGGAGGAUGUAAGCGUUAUCCGGAAUGAGUGGGCGUAAAGCGUUCGCAGGUGGCUGUUCAAGGCUGCUGUCAAAGACCGGGGCUUAACCCUAGAAAGGCAGUGGAAACUGGACGGCUGGAGUGCAGUAUGGGUAGAGGGAAUUCCCAGUGUAGCGGUGAAAUGCGUAGAGAUUGGGAAGAACACCGGUGGCGAAAGCGCUCUGCUGGACUGCAACUGACACUGAGGGACGAAAGCUAGGGGAGCGAAAGGG
rnacentral:rRNA from 1 species